GAACCCUUAACUGUUUUGCUCAUUCUUCUUGAUUUCGGAUGUGGGUCCCAAUAAAUUUUUUUUCCUCUCUCUCACCAAUCUGACCCGUGGGUCCCUCUUCCUAGCUCCUCCACUUCCCCUAUACUGUGCUAUUCCGAUGCCCCUGCUCUCACUAACCUGACCCGUCGGCCCCCCUCUUCUCUUUCCCAUCUCUCUCUCUCUACCGACCUCCCUG
rnacentral:lncRNA from 1 species